rnacentral:lncRNA from 1 species
UUGUACUAUAUUAGUUAUAUAUAAAGUUGAAUUUUUUGAUUCGUCGUUUUUACGAGAUGACGGCUGACAAAUUGGACCUAGUAAUUUUAGUAUUAUAGAUUCGUAUUGUUAUCUUAGAAAGUUUAACUGAUUAAAAUACUACAAUAGGUAACAAUUUGACAAUUAAGUAGUGUCAACCCUAUGAUUAUGACCCGUGUAAUACAUAUAGCAUAUUAAUCCUGAAUACACCGUUUGGUGGUGCGCCUGUCAGAUGCGGAACGUACAGAUAAGGUAAUCGGUAACAGGUGAAUAUACUAUUGGUAUCGGUAUCGGACUCGACCCGGAA